rnacentral:rRNA from 1 species
GGGGAAUAUUGCACAAUGGGGGGAAACCCUGGAUGCAGCGACGCCGCGUGAGCGAGGAAGUAUUUCGGUAUGUAAAGCUCUAUCAGCAGGGGACGAAAAAAGACGGUACCUGACUAAGAAACCCCGGCUUAAUAC